rnacentral:rRNA from 1 species
GUGGGGAAUCUUCCGCAAUGGACGAAAGUCUGACGGAGCAACGCCGCGUGAGUGAUGAAGGUCUUCGGAUUGUAAAGCUCUGUUAAUCGGGACGAAAGAGCCUAGUGUGAAUAAUGCUAGGAAGUGACGGUACCGGAAUAGAAAGCAACGGCUAACUACGUGCCAGCAGCCGCGGUAAUACGUAGGUGGCAAGCGUUGUCCGGAAUUAUUGGGCGUAAAGCGCGCGCAGGCGGAUCUGCCAGUCUGUCUUAAAAGUUCGGGGCUUAACCCCGUGAUGGGAUGGAAACUACAGAUCUAGAGUAUCGGAGAGGAAAGUGGAAUUCCUAGUGUAGCGGUGAAAUGCGUAGAUAUUAGGAAGAACACCAGUGGCGAAGGCGACUUUCUGGACGAAAACUGACGCUGAGGCGCGAAAGCCAGGGGAGCGAACGGGAUUAGAAACCCUGGUAGUCC